rnacentral:rRNA from 1 species
GAUGAACGCUGGCGGCGUGCUUAACACAUGCAAGUCGAACGGAAAGGCCCUGCUUUUGUUUGUUGCUUGUUUGGCGAACGGGUGAGUAACACGUGAGUAUCCCGCCCUUAUCUUUCUGAUAUCUUUAGGAAACUGCGUCUCUUACCGCAUAUAAUCUUCUGCUCCAUGUUGUUGGUUGGUAAGUUUCGGCGGUAGGGGCUAUACUCGCUGCUUAUCCGCUUGUUUGUGUAGUAGUUGCUUACCAAGGCUUUGACGGGUAGCCGGCCUGAGAGGGUGACCGGCGACAUUGGGACUGAGAGACGGACCAGAAUGCUACGGGAGGCAGCAGUGGGGAAUAUUGCAGAAUGGGCGGAAGCCAGAUGCAGAAACGCCGCGAGCGGGAUGACGGCUUUCGGGUUGUAAACAGAUGUGGAAGGUGACGAAGAGUGAGUGACGGUAAUGGGUAAAGAAGCACCGGCUAACUACGUG